GUGUGGGCUCCGGCAGGCUGCUCGCCCAAACCAGGUGACAUGGGGCAUGGCGUGAGAGCUCCCUGGCGCGUCCCGCACGCUUUCCCACUUCCAGAGCGCCGCUGCUCCCACCAGGCCUGCACCUCCACCCACCCCGAAGGCCGCCCGCGCCUUUCGUCCCGUCGUCCUCGCCUCCAGGCUUGACAGUCACCUGUCAGCGCCCCGCAGCUCAGUGCGCCCCGCCGGACGGCAGCAGGCCGCGGCUUGACCCCUGCGGCUUUCCGUCCGCGCGCGGGCCGCUCGGCUCCAGCCAGGGCCUACCGGAGAAAGAUACGCUCACCUAGCUUCACUAACGCGUCGGCCAUACACCGGUCCCACUUUCUGCCCGGCUCGGACUCCGACAUGUUCCCUACCGGCAGCUCCAGCGCUCCUCACGGCCGGCCCCCGCGCUCCGACUAAUGGAAUAAGCAGUUUGGACAAGCAAGGACUGUCUCUCUCGUCGAGGACUGCCAUGGAGGAAGGCCUUCUUCAUACUGAGGCUUGCCUAAAUCUCCCACAGAAGGUCCCUCUGCACUCCGGGCACUCAUCCUAAGCUAAGCCCGAUCCCCUCAGCUUUUAUCUCUAUAUAACCCAGCUGUUUCAGCCAUGUGCUCUCUUGGGUGUCUGCCUCUGUGGUCUCUCUUGCUCCCUCCCCCCUGACUCUUCUCUCAUGGCCUGGUUCAGUUCUCUUGCAGUUGUCUCUGGCUGUACUUCACCUCAAUCUACGAUAAAACCCUUACCUUCAACCAUACCCUACAUCAGUCAAGAGUUGACUCCCGGAAAGUCGUUCUCUGAUUGCUACACAUGCAGCCUGGUAUGGGUCUCCCUAAGUGCACAGUAAGGCUACUGAGAAAACUCGGCGGUAAAGGCCACCAAGCCUGACACCUGAGCACCAUCCCCCAGACCUCAGCGUGUUGUCCUCUGAUCUCCAAGGGUGUGUCAUGGCAUGCACACGUGUGUGCACACAGCUCCAGUUUAACAAAGAAAAGAGAAAUUUGGGGGAGGUGUCUGAGGUUGUAACUAAAUUGAUACAGUGUUUAUUUAACAUGUAGGGGAUCCUGCACUCCUCCUUCAGCAUUGCCAAAAGAUUUUUAGUUAAUUAAUUAAAAAGAAAGCCUGGAUUUGGAUUAAAAAGAAAGCUGGAUUUGGUGAUGCACCUUAAUCUUAGCUUGGGGAAGAGGCAGGAAGUUCAACUUCAUUGCAGAGUGAGUUAGAGGCCAGCCUAGAUGCUGUGAGAGCCUCCAUAAACUAAAAACCAGUGGGAGAACAGAAGAAUCAGUAUAUAAUAACACACAUGUGUAUACUGUAUACACAUAAACAGUAUCAUACAUGUAUAUAUUGUACACACACAAUAUCAUACAUGUGUAUAUUGUACACACAGUAUCAUACAUGUGUAUAUUGUACACACACAUACAGUACCAUACAAAUGUAUAUUGUACACACAAGUACAGUACCAUACAUGUGUAUAUUGUACAUGCAUAUGUACAGUAUCAUGCAUGUAUAUAUUGUACACACAUGUACAGUACCACACAUGUGAAUAUUGUACACACAUACAGUACCAUACAUGUAUAUAUUGUAUACACACAUACAGUACCAUACAUGUAUAUAUUGUACACACACAUGUACAGUACCAUACAUGUGAAUAUUGUGCACCCACAUGUACAGUACCAUAUAUGUAUUAUACACACACAUACAGUACUAUACAUAUAUAUUGUACACACACAUGUACAGUACCAUACAUAUGUAUAUUGAACACACGUACAGCACUCUACAUGUGUAUAUUGUACAUACACACAUACAAUAACAUACAUGUGUAUGUUAAACAUAUGCAUAUAUGGUACAAUAACAUACAUAUGUAUUUGUUGAACACACACAUAAAACAUUUAUUUUUGUUUGCUUGAGUGUUGAUCUGUUUGUUUGUUUUUCAAGAUAGGGUUUAUUUGUGUAGCCCUCUCUGUCCUAGAACUCCCUCUGUAGACCACACUGGCCUCCAACUCUGAGAUCCGCCUGCCUCUGCUUCCUGGGUGCUAAGAUGGGUGACGUGUGUCCCCACCACCCAGCUUCUUUGCUUACUUUUGAGACAAGGUCUCACUGUGUAGCCCUGGCUGGUCUGGAACUCCCUAUGUAGAUCAGUCUGACUUUGAACUCAUAGACAUUCACCUGCCUCAGCUUCCUGGGUACUAACAAAUCUUUUGAAAAGUUAAGUUUAAAAAAAAAAAUCAGUGAUUCACAAAUGAAAAAUACGUUUCUCAAAGAAGAAAUUACAAACGGGGGUUGGGGAUUUAGCUCAGUGGUAGAGCGCUUACCUAGCAAGCGCAAGGCCCUGGGUUCAGUCCCCAGCUCCGAAAAAAAAGAACCCAAAAAAAAAAAAAAAGAAUAUGUAAUCAAGAAUAUAGUCCCAGAUGUGGUGACAUGGGGGGCAAGUGGAACAGUGUCACCAGACAGAAAAACUGGCACGGUUCAGCAGAUUAAAGAACCCCAGAAAUUCUCAUAAUGGAGAACAGUUAGGUGUUUGAAUCUGUUCCCAGCCCAGUUCCUGUCCUGGAGCAUGUGACCACAAUUCCCCACUAAGAGGACCAUGACAACUGGUCACAUAAUGUAGAAACCCAGAAUUCUCCAUGCUAAUGAGGUAUCUAGAUGGGCCCUGAGGGUCAUCCCUUCUUGCAAAAGGUAUUUAAUCUCUAGUUUACCCUGAGUAAGUUGUACCCAUCCAUUUCCACCAGGAAUAAGCAGUUUGGACAAGCAAGGACUGUCUCUCUCGUCGAGGACUGCCAUGGAGGAAGGCCUUCUUCAUACUGAGGCUUGCCUAAAUCUCCCACAGAAGGUCCCUCUGCACUCCGGGCACUCAUCCUAAGCUAAGCCCGAUCCCCUCAGCUUUUAUCUCUAUAUAACCCAGCUGUUUCAGCCAUGUGCUCUCUUGGGUGUCUGCCUCUGUGGUCUCUCUUGCUCCCUCCCCCCUGACUCUUCUCUCAUGGCCUGGUUCAGUUCUCUUGCAGUUGUCUCUGGCUGUACUUCACCUCAAUCUACGAUAAAACCCUUACCUUCAACCAUACCCUACAUCAGUCAAGAGUUGACUCCCGGAAAGUCGUUCUCUGAUUGCUACACAUGCAGCCUGGUAUGGGUCUCCCUAAGUGCACAGUAAGGCUACUGAGAAAACUCGGCGGUAAAGGCCACCAAGCCUGACACCUGAGCACCAUCCCCCAGACCUCAGCGUGUUGUCCUCUGAUCUCCAAGGGUGUGUCAUGGCAUGCACACGUGUGUGCACACAGCUCCAGUUUAACAAAGAAAAGAGAAAUUUGGGGGAGGUGUCUGAGGUUGUAACUAAAUUGAUACAGUGUUUAUUUAACAUGUAGGGGAUCCUGCACUCCUCCUUCAGCAUUGCCAAAAGAUUUUUAGUUAAUUAAUUAAAAAGAAAGCCUGGAUUUGGAUUAAAAAGAAAGCUGGAUUUGGUGAUGCACCUUAAUCUUAGCUUGGGGAAGAGGCAGGAAGUUCAACUUCAUUGCAGAGUGAGUUAGAGGCCAGCCUAGAUGCUGUGAGAGCCUCCAUAAACUAAAAACCAGUGGGAGAACAGAAGAAUCAGUAUAUAAUAACACACAUGUGUAUACUGUAUACACAUAAACAGUAUCAUACAUGUAUAUAUUGUACACACACAAUAUCAUACAUGUGUAUAUUGUACACACAGUAUCAUACAUGUGUAUAUUGUACACACACAUACAGUACCAUACAAAUGUAUAUUGUACACACAAGUACAGUACCAUACAUGUGUAUAUUGUACAUGCAUAUGUACAGUAUCAUGCAUGUAUAUAUUGUACACACAUGUACAGUACCACACAUGUGAAUAUUGUACACACAUACAGUACCAUACAUGUAUAUAUUGUAUACACACAUACAGUACCAUACAUGUAUAUAUUGUACACACACAUGUACAGUACCAUACAUGUGAAUAUUGUGCACCCACAUGUACAGUACCAUAUAUGUAUUAUACACACACAUACAGUACUAUACAUAUAUAUUGUACACACACAUGUACAGUACCAUACAUAUGUAUAUUGAACACACGUACAGCACUCUACAUGUGUAUAUUGUACAUACACACAUACAAUAACAUACAUGUGUAUGUUAAACAUAUGCAUAUAUGGUACAAUAACAUACAUAUGUAUUUGUUGAACACACACAUAAAACAUUUAUUUUUGUUUGCUUGAGUGUUGAUCUGUUUGUUUGUUUUUCAAGAUAGGGUUUAUUUGUGUAGCCCUCUCUGUCCUAGAACUCCCUCUGUAGACCACACUGGCCUCCAACUCUGAGAUCCGCCUGCCUCUGCUUCCUGGGUGCUAAGAUGGGUGACGUGUGUCCCCACCACCCAGCUUCUUUGCUUACUUUUGAGACAAGGUCUCACUGUGUAGCCCUGGCUGGUCUGGAACUCCCUAUGUAGAUCAGUCUGACUUUGAACUCAUAGACAUUCACCUGCCUCAGCUUCCUGGGUACUAACAAAUCUUUUGAAAAGUUAAGUUUAAAAAAAAAAAAAUCAGUGAUUCACAAAUGAAAAAUACGUUUCUCAAAGAAGAAAUUACAAACGGGGGUUGGGGAUUUAGCUCAGUGGUAGAGCGCUUACCUAGCAAGCGCAAGGCCCUGGGUUCGGUCCCCAGCUCCGGGGGAAAAAAAAAAAAGAAAUUACAAACAGGGAAAGGAAGGAAGCUCAAAAAUAUUUAAUGUAAUUUAACAAUAGAUGUAGUAACCGGGCACCAUUCUGCUUGCCUAUAAUCCCCCCUCUGAGGAGGCGGACACAGGAGGGUUGCAAAUUUGAGACCAGCCUCGGUACAGCCAGGAAAAACCCUGUCCCAGCACAAAGGAGGAGGAACAGAAUUGGCUAGAGAGCUUGCUCAGCAGGUCAUGCUAUGAAGCACAAGGACCUGAAUCUGAUCUCAAAGAAAGACCCAUAGGAAAAAGCCAGGCGUGGUUGAUCUUUCAUGCACUUAACGCCAGCGCUGUGGCGUUACUACAAUCUGCUGACUGCCAGCUUAGCUGUAAAUUCAGUAAGAGAACCUGCUGCGGGG